AAUAUUGCGCAAUGGAGGAAACUCUGCCGCAGCGUCGCCGCGUGAGCGAUGAAGGUCUUCGGAUCGUAAAGCUCUGUUCUCAGGGAAGAAGAAAGCGACGGUACCUGAGGAGGAAGCCCCGGCUAACUACAUGCCAGCAGCCGCGGUAAUACGUAGGGGGCAAGCGUUGUCCGGAAUUAUUGGGCGUAAAGCGCGCGCAGGCGGUCUUUUAAGUCUGAUGUGAAAGCCCCCGGCUCAACCGGGGAGGGUCAUUAGAAACUGGGAGACUUGAGUGCAGAAGAGAAGAGUGGAAUUCCACGUGUAGCGGUGAAAUGCGUAGAGAUGUGGAGGAACACCAGUGGCGAAGGCGACUCUUUGGUCUGUAACUGACGCUGAGGCGCGAAAGCGUGGGGAGCGAAC
rnacentral:rRNA from 1 species